GUUGCUCUCCAAAGCUGCGAAUGUAAGUCUGAGUGUUUCUCUCUUGAUGCCAUUGGCAAACAACCGUUUCAGGGUUAAAAAGUGUUUUUUUCUGGAAUCUUGGUGCCAAACAACUAUCUUGAUGUGAGUUGAGGAGCUUCAUUUUGACAAAAAGUAUGCUUUGACACCAUCUUAUGGCAUCUUGCUACCCGGGAACUAUGUCGCAGUGAAUUGAGCCGCUUCAUUCAGACAAACAUUAUGCUUUGAUGGCAUGGUGGUGUCUAAAAAAACUAUACGAUGUGAGUUGAGGAGCUUCAUUUUGACAAAAAUAGUGCUUUGUCACCAUCUUGUGGCAUCUUGGUGCCCAGGAACUAUGUCGCAGUGAGUUGAGGAGCUUCAUUUAGACAAAAGUAGUGCUUUGUCACCAUCUUGUGGCAUCUUGGUACCCUGGAACUAAGUCGUGAAGUAAGUUAAGGGGCUAAAUUUAGACAAAUAAAGUGCUUUGCCUCCACCUUUUGGCAUUCAUAGGCAAUCAUAAGCAGAUUUUUGUUAUUCUGUCCGAUUCCCCGUGAAUAACGGGAGUUAACUGGGAAAAAAAAAUAAAAAUACACGAAUGGAGUGCCAACAAAGGGAGCGAUCACAGUUUGAAUACUUCAGGAAGUGCCUCUCAAAAUGUCUCCAGGUUUCUCCAAAAGUGAUCCAUGAUUCAUGCGGCUUGCUAACCGGUGAUGUUUCCUGUUUA